UAAUAGUGCACGUGCAAUGGACUAAGCUGGAAUCUGCAAGCAUUCAACUCAAGAGAGAAGACAGGUUUAUCAAACACACAAGAAGAAAGCGAGAAAAAGGAAUUUAAACUAGCAUGGAUAAUACAAUGAAAGAGUAUGAGCACCGACGACUAGUGUGUGAACAUGAAUGUAAAGUCGGUGAGAAAUAUGUACUCCCCCAAACUUAGGCUUUUUGCCUAAGUUGGUCUAGUACCAAGGACCGCUGCUACUCUUCCCGGUGUACUGGGAAGUGUAAUCAGGAUACCACUAGCUCGUCAUCUCCGGAUCCCACUGGAAAGAUGAUGCACGAUAAGGGUCCAGUGCAGGUUCCGGCUCGGGUUCAGGUUCUGGAGUGGAUGCUUGGGCUCGAUGAGCAUACACCGCCUCCGGCGUGACAAGAAAAUUAUUUGCAAGCAAAUCGAACAACAGAGGCGCAGGCAAAAUAAUAGUCUCAUUGUGUUUCUUAUUAAAUCUAAGGUUAUAUAAAAGCAUCUUCUCUUCGUUGUCAACAAUAAACUUUUGGGCUACCAUGCUCUUGUAAUUUAAAAUGUGAGGAGGCAAUUUUGUCUCCUCUUUCUCA